rfam:Gossypium raimondii Chr10_contig_607, whole genome shotgun sequence.
GCAGAGACGGUUGAGUGGACUAAAGUGUCGGAUUGCUAAUCCGUUGUAUGAGUUAUUCAUACUGAGGGUUUGAAUCCCUCUCUUUCCA